GAAAGGGGAGAUUCAGGUCUCGCCGCGCGCCGGGCCGCGCCCGCGAUGCAGGGAUGGCGUUUUCGCGGCCGUGGGGCGACCCUCGGUCCGGGANNNGCGCCACCCCGCGGGCGCGGUCUGUCCCGGCGCCGGAGUGACGCACUUCUCCCCCGGUAGAACGUCGCGAUCCGUCGGUCGCCGGCCUAAGGCCCCUGGUGGAGCCUGCGCGGUUCGCCGCGCACGACCCAGGGGAUCCCGGCCGGGUGCCCGACGGUACGAAGAGAGGAAGGAGUCGGCGCGCCUCUCGCAGGCGUCCGCCCCUCCGCAAGCGCUCGCGGGAGUCGGGAGUCUCCGGGCCCGGCCCGGCUUCCUUCUUCAGCGGGGCUGUUUGCGACGAGGAGGUGCGCUCGGAC
rnacentral:rRNA from 1 species